GGUAAAUGUUCAUUACUGCAACUCUUGUGUUUUACCGGGGUGCUUGAGAUACCCGGAUGGGUUGUCAUGUACUGAACAAGACUGGUUACUCGCAUCAAUGCCUCUGUCUCGUCAUUUAACAUUCAAACAAGAACUACCGGAGGCGCGCAAAAUGGGUCUGACAAUUUUUGUGCAGGAAUAACAACUAUAGUAAUUGGAUAACGGGAAAAAGCACAUACAUAGAUCCUAGAAAUACAUACACACCGAUUUUGAGAAUAGGUAUAGGAACUACACGGGUUACUACCAAUGGGCAGUAAAUCCUCAAAGGAGGUCCCGGAAUUAACGGGAGAUGAGAAAUAUAUGCAGGGAAAAGAAAAAAGGAACACCUAUUUUGGCCCGAAAUGGAGGAGUAAGUACCAAUUUGACAGACGUUUAAAAUAUAGAAAAACUGGAAUCAAUGAUUAAACAAAUACAUAGGGUUUGUGGGGACCAGGCAGAUAAACAACGAGCAGAGGGGCUAGACACAGCGAGGGUAUGGUUAGCCGAGGCGAGGAAGAGAGCUGAGGGAGAAAGGAAAAAGAAGGAAGAUGUAAGUUGCCAGCAACAGAGAGCAAUAACUCCCACGGCUCUUCUGGAGUACCCUCAUAAGCCUAAAUUAUAUCCCACCCAGAUAGACGAGGCGUGGAGAGAGAAUCCUGAUGAUGAAACGGUGGGGGUGAGGAGACGGCAGCCAAUGCUUUCUGUCCCACCACCACCACCCCCAUAUGGGGAACCUCCUGGAGCAGAGGGCGGGGUAGAGACGGAUGAGGAUAGGGUAGGGCUAGUUACCAUAGUGAAGGUCAUGAAAGAUUUAACUGAACGAAGACAUAGGAUGAACAAGGGGGAAAGAGGUAGAGACAGGGCUUUACCACUCAGAAGGCUGAAGUCGCAUAACCAGAGCCCAGUGAGGAGAGGAGUAGCAGAGUGGCUGGAUGACGAAGAUGAAAAGGAGGCUAGUCAGUAUCCUCUAAUUGCCGUGCCCAACCCACGGGCUGGGGACGCAGGACAGGAACCUAUUUUAGAAUUGUAUAGGGCAUGGACACAUAGCAAUGUAGAAAGAGCGGUGGAAGGAAUGGUACACCCUAAAACAGGCAUGGAAGUAUUUAGAAGGGAUCUAGAAGGUUUGACAGCCAGCUUCAAGUUAAACACAGGAGAAGUGGAGAGAGCGGUACGGCAGUUGGUGGGGAAGGACUAGGCAGCUGUACGAGGGCAAUGGGUGCCAGGGCAUAACCAUUUAAUUACAGUGCCAUGGGCAGCAGAGGGUGAUUACGUUGUUAAAAUUACAGAAUUGUAUAAUAAUUUGAGGGAUUAUUAUAACCGACACGCAGACUUCUCUAAAGUGUCUGAAUGCAGGCAGGGAGAUGGUGAGACCAUCAGUCAGUGCUUAGAGAGACUGAAGGAUGUGCCAGUGGUUUAACAGAGCCCCCCCCAUAGCAGAUGGUUUUAACACUGCAUAUCACCAGCAGCUGAAGAUAGCUUUCCUCAGCGGAAUGCGCCCCGAGAUUAGCAGUACCAUAAAGAAAACCUUGGUGGGGUGGGGACUAGCAGAACUGGGGGAAGUAAAAAUAUAUACAAUUCAUUAUGAACAGCACGGUAAAAGCGAGGAGACUAAGAAGAAGCUGAAAGGGGCAGAAUACUUGAUGGUCACUCUGGGUGAGAUAGCCAGUGAAUUACAGGAGAAGGUGAUUCACUCAAUCCAACAAGGAGACUGGGGUGUGGAUCCAGUCCAUGAGAAGAAUAGACUGGAAGCAGCCCCGCUGGGAAGGCCCAUACCAGGUUCUGUUAAACCACCGCCUUUGCCAUUAGAAUAGCUGAGAGAGUCACUUGGGUCUACGUUGCCCACUGCAAGGAGAUAUGUACACAUAUAAGCACUGCUGAUCACACACAGAGUUAGGGAGAAGAACUGAGUACCAACAGGGUCCGGGGGUUACCUCUUUAACAAAGAUUUCAUAUCCCGACCCUUCAUCACUGUGGGUGAUCCUAGAAGUGUGAGUAUGGGGUGGUACCUAGCAGACCGACUAAGGGCAGGAGAGGGUUGGCGGUUUUUGGGAAGAGUAGGGGCUCUGAGCUGCAUCCUAGUCUUUGAAACCUUUCUGAUACAUCCAGAUCCACCACCUGCCGGUACUAAUUAUAGGACGCCAUUGUCAUUGAUAAGAAGUAAAAGAUAAACUAUAUAAUACACUGAUAAGAGACUUACAGAAUAAGGAGUCAAAGAAGAUCAAGAUGUAGGAUUUAAGGUAAACAUUAAACAAUUUCCUAGGAAAGCAAAUAACUGUACAGGGAUUGGGAUGGCCAGAUUGAAGUACUCGGCCAACCCACCUCUGUUCCCUUUAACUCCUGAUGAGUACCAGUGUUAUAGAUACAAAAAUGGCACCGAGAACUUAGAUGAUUUUAAUGGCUGAAAGGUAAUAAUUAAUGUGACUGACUUAGGUUUAGAAGUACAGGAGACAAUUCUUAACCUCACAGCACCUAUAAGUGAUGUAGGGUGGGCUCGUACCAGCAAGGGACGCAUAUGUCAGAAACUACCAGAAAGGGUGGUCAAGAACUUGUGCCCCGGGGUUAUUGGUCCAAUAAGUUUGAGUUAGUCAUCAGAGGCCAGUUAUAGGAGGCCAGUUAUAGGAGGCUAAAGUAGGCACAGGAGGAGUUUUGACCAGGAUGGGAGUCUAGAUGGAUGCUAUUGGCAUCCUCAUGGACGUUCCAGAUUAAUACAAAGCUAUGAAUCAAAUAGGUGAAAACUUUAUUUUGGUGGUUGACAAUAAAUAAAAAUGGGGAUUGGAUUAAUGACAUCUAUUAUAAGCAACAGAGAUUUGUGAAUGAGACUGUGGAUGCAGUAAAGGGGUUCUCUGACCAAUUAUCUGCCACCUCCCCCAUGACCUGGUAAAAUAGAUUGACACUCGAUAUGUUAAUUGGCAGAAAAGGGUGGGGUAUGUAGAAUAAUUGGGGAUCAUUGCUGUACGUUUAUUUUUUAAUAACACAGCUCCAGAAGGAUCAAUGACCAAGGCCCUGGCUGGUUUAACCACAUUAGCUCACGAAUUAGCAGAGAACUCAGGGGUGGAUAAUUCUAUUACAAAUUGGUUUGGAAGUAUAUUUGGGAAAUGGAAAAUUGUCAUAAUCACUGUGUUGAGGGCCACUUUCACCUGUAUGAGUGUUUUGGUUCUGUGUGAAUGUCGUUUGAUUCCUUAUAUGAGAGGAUUGAUAACUAGGUCACUGGAGAGGUCAACGACGCAACAGAGGGUGAGAUACGGAACGAUUCCAAGCUCUGACCAGUGGGAUGAAGAAUGCAGACUUCCAGGCCUAGGAGAUGGCUCUGUUUCUUUUCACUAUGAGGAGCCAAUGACUUCGAUUGAUGAAGAUUAAAAUAAAUAUAUUUUAAACAGUUGUGGCCCUCUGGCUGGGUAUCAAUAAUGGCAUGGAUUGGCAGAGCUGUGUAUUGGAUAUGGCAUGGCAUCAUAUUGACCUCUGCAUGAAUACAUUUCCCUGAGAAGUGUAUUAAUUAUAUAGAGAUCUUUUUACUUUGUUUAACUAGGCAAGUCAGUUAAGAACAAAUUCGUAUUUACAAUGAUGGCCUACACCAGCCAAACCCAGAUGAUGCUGGGCCAACUGUGCACCGCCCUAUGGGACUAAUAAUCACGGCCGGUUGUGAUACAGCCUGGAAUUGAACCAGGGUGUCUGUAGUGACUCCUCAAGCACUGAAAUGUAGUGCCGUAGACCGCUGUGCCACCCGGGAGCUCAUGCACCACUCGGGAGCCCAUAUUGAGGAUUUCUUCCCAAGAUAAAUAUCUGUAACACCUUUUAAAUAAGACAUUAGACAUUACACUUGUGUCAUGGCUUCUUUUAUCACAGGGAACACAUUUUUGAUUAGCUGAAUGUUUACUGAGUUUUUUUUACACAAACAGAACAACCCAUUUAGUUUCCCUAUGUAAAGACUAGGCCAACUCUUAGUUUCUCAUGCAUUGCUUGAUGAAUAGGCAAGCGCAAAGUCAGCAAAAGUCAGAAUUGUGAUGGACAAAUCUUUUUUUCUCAAUCCUCUGUCGUUUCUCUUUGCUUAUUUGAGCUGUUCUUGCCAUAAUCUGGACUUGGUCUUUUACCAAAUAGGGCUAUCUUCUGUAUACCUAGUCACAAAACAACUGACUGGCUCAAAUGCAUUAACAAGGCACACCUGUAAAUUGAAAUGCAUUCUCGGCGACUACCUCAUGACACUGGUUGAGAGAAUGACAAGAGUGUGCAAAGCUGUCAUCAAGGCAAACAGUGGCUACUUUGAAGAAUCUCAAGUUUAAAAAAAUGUUUUAUUUGGUUAACACUUUUUUGGUUACUAUAUGAUUCCAUAUGUGCUAUUUCAUAGUUUAGAUGUCUUCCCUAUUAUUCGACAAUAUAAAAAUAUAGAAAAAUCUUGGAAUGAGUAGGUGUGUCCAACCUUUUGACUGUUAUAUAUAUGUAUAUAUUGAAUUGAUUUAAAUUGAGUGAUUUCCUUCUAUGAACUAUAACUCAGUAAAAUCUUUGAAAUUGUUGCAUAUUGCGUUUAUAUUAUUGUUCAACAUAUAUACAUAAUCAAUUCUUUAGGCCCUAAUCUAUUUAUUUCACAUGACUGGGCAGGGGUGCACCGGCAGGGGUGUACCCACUGGAGAGUCAGGCCCAGCCAAUCAGAAUGAGUUUUUCCCCCCAAAAUAGCUUAAUUCCAGAAAUUCUCCUCAGCACACCACCCACCCCCCCUCAGAUGAUCCCGCAGGUGAAGAAGUCAGAUGUGGAGGCUCUAGGCUGGCCGGUUUACAUGUGGUCUGCCGUUGUAAGGCCGGUUGGACACACUGCCAAAUUCUCUAAAACAACUUUGAAGGCAGCUUAUGGUAGAUAAAUUAACAUUCAAUUCUCUGUCAUUAGCUCUGGUGGACAUUCCUGCAGUCAGCAUGUGAAUUGCACACUUCCUCAAAACUUGAGACAUAUGUGGCAUUCUGUUGCGUGACGAAACUGCACAUUUUAACGUGGCCUUUUAUUGUUGCCAGCACAAGGUGAACCUGUAUAAUGAUCAUGCUGUAUAAUCAGCUUCUUGAUAUGCCACACCUGUCAGGUGGAUGGAUUAUCUUGGCAAUGGAGAAAAGCUCACUAACAGGGAUGUAAAUGAAUUUGUGCACAACAUGUGAGAGAAAUGUUGCGUUUAUAUUUUUGUUCAGUGUGUAUAUAUUUAUACUCCGGACUCCGACAUAUGUUCAUCCUAAUAAUUCUAUAUUUCUUAAUUCAAUUUUUUACUUUUUAAUUUUGUGUGUAUUGUUUUAUAUUGUUCGAUAUUACUGCACUGUUGGAAUUAGGAACACAAUCAUUUCUCUACACCUGCAAUAACAUGUUCUAAAUAUGUGUAUUGUUAGGGUCUAAACAAACAGAGUAAAAACUCAAACGGACAACUAGGAAAAACUCAAACCAAGUUUAUUCACCCAAUGGGUCAUACAGCUGCAAAGACAAAGCAUGAUUAGACAAGCACAUCUAUUUAUAACCUCCUACUAGGCGGGGUCAACUCCUUACACAUCUAGACAGCCAAUACAUCUCUGUUUCUAGGCAGGAUCUUAAUUGUUUCCUCUCACUGGUGUAGUCAUGGCCCUGCCUGGUGCUAGAACCUUUGUGGACGGGGAAAUGUAUGUGUGUGAGAUAGGACUGUAGUAGGAGAGUCGUUGUGGUGGGCCCCCCUGUCCCUCCUCCCAGAGGUUCCUACUUUUGACUUGACCUCGAGCCGAAUUCCUCGCUCCUUAUCAAGAACUGAAACUAGCCUGUUGUCCUUUGCCUCCCUCCUUAGGAACAGAAUAUUAGCUUUCUGCACUUCACCUUGUCUCACUCAGUAAUUCCAUACACCAAAUUGCUAUCCAUCCUUCAUUAACCCCAACUUAUACAUUAUUGGACAUGUAAAGUAAUCAAUAAGUGAUGGUAUGGUGACACGAAUAAGUUUAUUUCUAGCAAGAAUCAACAGUAUGCAACCAAUAACAUUUGAUUUUAUGUGGACUGUGUUUACUACUUCUCAUAUGGGAUGAAUGGUAGCCCAAGGCUCUGCAUUUUUUUUUACCUCUAUACUGUAGUAUCAGAGAAGACAGGCACAACUUUUGCUUGUUUUAAAAAAAACAGGAUUUUAUUUUCAAAUUGCAACUUCCCAUCACGCAGUGGCAUCAAGAAUGAAGCAUCACAAGUAAUUACACUGCAUCUUACAGAAGAUUACAUUAUGCUAUCAACACUUUGUUAGAAACAUCAUUAUCUUUAUUUCUCAACAUCCUGUUGUCAAUUUGUUUACUUUUACUCAUUUAUUUUGUUUGAGACUGACAUAUGGUGAAAUUAUAUAUGCUUUACUUUUAGUUCAUCCGAGGAACUAACCGAAUAUGUUAAUGUCCUGAAGAAAAGCCACAGUAUGUUGGUUUUACCCAAUCAGUCUGUCCAUCACCUCUGGCUGAGGGGUUUUUCAACUGGUAAUCAUGUGACUCAAACAGUUAAUGCAUCAGCAACUUUAACCCACCGAAACCAGAGAUGUGGAAAUGUUCAGGGGAAGAAAAAUACAUUCUGAUGGUGUGAAAAGAUAUGGCAAAGUAUCUUAGAAUUUAUUUACAACAUUAGCUUAUUAUUGCACUAGCUCAAAAUAUAAAUAACAAUCACAAAAAAUGUAAUAUUCUCUUAUUUGCUGUACAGGUACUGUGUGCUGAAUUAAGAUUAUUCUAUCAUGUACUAUCUUAGAUAUGAUCAGAAAUGUAUGUAGUUUAAUUAGUGUUUGUAAAGUAAAUGACUGUUAUUGUUAUUAUUUGUAUUAUUAAGGUUCUGGUCUUCUGAGAUACAAACAGGUACACAACAAACCAGAGAACUAUAUAAUUACAGUGCCUUCAGAAAGUAUUCAUACCCGUUGACUUAUUCCACAGUUUGUUGUGUUACAGCCUGAAUUCAAAAUUAAUAACAUUUUUUUAAAACACACCGUGAUCUGUUUCGCCUGUCUUUGUGCUCGUCUCCACCCCCUUCCGGGUGUCACCCAUCUUCCCCAUUAUCCCGUGUGAAUUUAUACCUGUGUUCUCUGUUUGUCUGUUGCCAGUUCGUCUUGUCUCAUCAAGCCUACAAAGCCUGUUUACUUGUUUUCCCGGUUUUGAUCACAAGCCUGUUUACUUAUAUGAGAGGAUUGAUAACUAGGUCACUGGAGAGGUCAACGACGCAACAGAGGGUGAGAUACGGAACGAUUCCAAGCUCUGACCAGUGGGAUGAAGAAUGCAGACUUCCAGGCCUAGGAGAUGGCUCUGUUUCUUUUCACUAUGAGGAGCCAAUGACUUCGAUUGAUGAAGAUUAAAAUAAAUAUAUUUUAAACAGU